CACGUAGGCGGUUUGUUAUGUCGGAUGUGAAAGCCCUUGGCUCAACUGAGGAAGUGCAUCCGAAACUGGCAAGCUAGAGUAUGUAAGAGGGUCGCGGAAUUCCCGGUGUAGAGGUGAAAUUCGUAGAUAUCGGGAGGAACACCGGUGGCGAAGGCGGCGACCUGGGACAAUACUGACGCUGAGGUGCGAAAGCGUGGGGAGCAAACA
rnacentral:rRNA from 1 species